rnacentral:rRNA from 1 species
GACGAACCGUGCGAACGUUGUUCGGAAUCACUGGGCUUAAAGGGCGCGUAGGCGGAUCAGCAAGUCCGGGGUGAAAUCUUUCGGCUCAACCGGAAAAGUGCCUCGGAUACUGCUGGUCUGGAGUGAGGUAGGGGCCGCGGGAACUUCCGGUGGAGCGGUGAAAUGCGUUGAUAUCGGAAGGAACGCCCGGUGGCGAAAGCGCGCGGCUGGCCCUCAACUGACGCUGAUGCGCGAAAGCCAGG